rnacentral:rRNA from 1 species
AUUGAACGCUGGCGGCAGGCCUAACACAUGCAAGUCGAGCGGGGCGGCGGACGGGUGAGUAAUGCCUAGGAAUGUGCCUGGUAGAGGGGGAUAACGUCCGGAAACGGGCGCUAAUACUGCAUACUAUCAGCAGAGCCUAGGUCGUAUUAGCUAGUUGGUGGGGUAAAGGCCUACCAAGGCGACGACCCGUAACUGGUCUGAGAGGAUGAUCAGUCACACUGGAACUGAGACACGGUCCAGACUCCUACGGGAGGCAGCAGUGGGGAAUAUUGGACAAUGGGCGAAAGCCUGAUCCAGCCAUGCCGCGUGUGUGAAGAAGGUCUUCGGAUUGUAAAGCACUUUAAGUUGGGAGGCGUUACCAACAGAAUAAGCACCGGCUAACUUCGUGCCAGCAGCCGCGGUAAUUC